ACUCCUGCGGGAGGCAGCAGUGGGGAAUUUUGGACAAUGGGCGAAAGCCUGAUCCAGCAAUGCCGCGUGCAGGAUGAAGGCCUUCGGGUUGUAAACUGCUUUUGUACGGAACGAAAAAGCUCCUUCUAAUACAGGGGGCCCAUGACGGUACCGUAAGAAUAAGCACCGGCUAACUACGUGCCAGCAGCCGCGGUAAUACGUAGGGUGCGAGCGUUAAUCGGAAUUACUGGGCGUAAAGCGUGCGCAGGCGGUUAUGUAAGACAGAUGUGAAAUCCCCGGGCUCAACCUGGGAACUGCAUUUGUGACUGCAUGGCUAGAGUACGGUAGAGGGGGAUGGAAUUCCGCGUGUAGCAGUGAAAUGCGUAGAUAUGCGGAGGAACACCGAUGGCGAAGGCAAUCCCCUGGACCUGUACUGACGCUCAUGCACGAAAGCGUGGGGAGCAAACAGGAGUAGAUACCCCGGUAGUCCC
rnacentral:rRNA from 1 species